UUACCUUACAUAAAAUAUCUGCAUACUUCUUUAUACAAGUAUUUCAUAAAUUCAUCAUAGCUGAUUAUCUAAGGAAAUUAAAUGAGCCACAAAUCUUAUCAAGAGUAAAAUAUAAUCAUUUAAGGUUCAAGUUCUUCAAAGAUCUGUCCUGUUAUGCCGUGUUUCUCUUUAUCAGCAGCAGCGAGGAAUCAUUUAUUUAAGGUCCUUGGCACACACAGUGGUAAAGAAUUCCUUCUUUAGGGGGCAAAAGUUCAGGGAUAAAAGGGAUCACUCAGGAGAUUACUCCCAUGUACGUAACACGGAUGCCUAGAACGCAAACAAAGAGCAUUAGGUUGCGCAGCUAGUUGCAGUGUUUGUGUGCUUUUCUUACCUUAUCCUCUCCAUUUGUCUUUUAUAUCACCAAAUGAAGAAAUUAAACUCAAAUUGUUGUCUUUGUACACUUCCCCCCGCUGCCAUAGGAUACUCCUUUUAGCUGUUUAAAUGAAACAUCUUUUCUUUUUUUUUCAUGCCUCCACUCAGGGCAGUGUUUUUCAAUCAGAUUAGUACAGCACAUUCUGUUCUGUUUCACUUCCUGAUGACUGUGCAGCCUGUAUCCCUGAAUGAACUCACCCGCGUGCUUCUGGUUACACCGAGACACUCAUUCAGAGACACACACAUUCUCGUAACUGCCUGUCAGAUUUUAGUGCUUCAAACCAUAUUUAGUAAAUGUUUAAGCCAAUUAUCAAGGAAUGCCUACUGUUUAUUGGUUUAUUUGAAGAAAAAAACAACCACUUUUUUAGUUGCUGUUUUCAACUCAACAGAAACAAGAUGUUCAUGAUGUUUCAGGAAGGAAGACAACAUCAGGCUGUGUGUCAAUAUAGAAAUGUAUUCAUGCAUUUCAGUUCAGCUCAGGUCAGCACAGUUCAUUGUUGACCUCCACUUAUGCAUACAAGACAAGAGGAAGUGCCAACCAAGCUACCAGGACACCACAGUACAGACGAGGGUUUGGAAAAACAAACAAAUCUCUGCCUGAGCCGAAGCCCUGAUGAGUUUUAGACAAAAUAUUGAUGUCUUUAUUACUAAUAGCUUGUUGUGGUGCAUGGUGUGGGCAGCUUGUUUUAUCAGCUCAAAAUAUCACAGUCAUUCUGUUUUUGCACUACUUUCUCUUUUAAUGUAAAUAAAAUGUUCUAUAACGA